UACGUAGGGUCCGAGCGUUGCCCGGAAUUAUUGGGCGUAAAGAGCUCGUAGGCGGUCUGUCGCGUCGGCUGUGAAAACACGGGGCUCAACUCCGUGCCUGCAGUCGAUACGGGCAGACUAGAGUUCGGUAGGGGAGACUGGAAUUCCUGGUGUAGCGGUGAAAUGCGCAGAUAUCAGGAGGAACACCGGUGGCGAAGGCGGGUCUCUGGGCCGAAACUGACGCUGAGGAGCGAAAGCGUGGGGAGCGAACAGG
rnacentral:rRNA from 1 species